AAUUUAAAUAGUGUAAUUUAUAACACAUAACUUUUUCAUUGUUAAAAUCCGGGAGGUUUAAAUUA
rnacentral:tRNA from 1 species